CUUGGGAUGGAUUUUGCUCGAAUGAACUGUUUAAGAAUAGCUUUCUCUUCAUCGAUGCGCUUCUUCUCUUGUGGAUCUUUUGCUUUGACCUUUCUUUUCUCUUCCAAAAUCCACUUGUACAGUUCACGCUGUUGGUUCUCUGGGAUAGGUUCGUGCGGCUUCACAGGUUCUGAAACUGUGGGCAAUGAAAUGGGCUUCUCAGAAACUGUUGUAGUUGUGGUAGGGGUGGACGAAACUGGAGAGGAGGAGACAUUGGUCGAUACUUCUUCCUCUAGGUCUGUAUCUUUUU
rnacentral:misc_RNA from 1 species